UGGGGAAUUUUGGACAAUGGGGGCAACCCUGAUCCAGCAAUGCCGCGUGUGUGAAGAAGGCCUUCGGGUUGUAAAGCACUUUUGUCCGGAAAGAAAACGCCGUGGUUAAUACCCGUGGCGGAUGACGGUACCGGAAGAAUAAGCACCGGCUAACUACGUGCCAGCAGCCGCGGUAAUACGUAGGGUGCAAGCGUUAAUCGGAAUUACUGGGCGUAAAGCGUGCGCAGGCGGUCCGCUAAGACAGAUGUGAAAUCCCCGGGCUUAACCUGGGAACUGCAUUUGUGACUGGCGGGCUAGAGUAUGGCAGAGGGGGGUAGAAUUCCACGUGUAGCAGUGAAAUGCGUAGAGAUGUGGAGGAAUACCGAUGGCGAAGGCAGCCCCCUGGGCCAAUACUGACGCUCAUGCACGAAAGCGUGGGGAGCAAACAGGAUUAGAUACCCUGGUAGUCCACGCCCUAAACGAUGUCAACUAGUUGUCGGGUCUUCAUUGACUUGGU
rnacentral:rRNA from 1 species